rnacentral:rRNA from 1 species
GACGAACGCUGGCGGCGUGCCUAAUACAUGCAAGUAGAACGCUGAAGGAGGAGCUUGCUUCUCUGGAUGAGUUGCGAACGGGUGAGUAACGCGUAGGUAACCUGCCUGGUAGCGGGGGAUAACUAUUGGAAACGAUAGCUAAUACCGCAUAAGAGUAGAUGUUGCAUGACAUUUGCUUAAAAGGUGCAAUUGCAUCACUACCAGAUGGACCUGCGUUGUAUUAGCUAGUUGGUGAGGUAACGGCUCACCAAGGCGACGAUACAUAGCCGACCUGAGAGGGUGAUCGGCCACACUGGGACUGAGACACGGCCCAGACUCCUACGGGAGGCAGCAGUAGGGAAUCUUCGGCAAUGGACGGAAGUCUGACCGAGCAACGCCGCGUGAGUGAAGAAGGUUUUCGGAUCGUAAAGCUCUGUUGUAAGAGAAGAACGAGUGUGAGAGUGGAAAGUUCACACUGUGACG